GGAGGGGUGCCGGAGUGGUUGAACGGAUCCGUCUUGAAAACGGACGUCCUCGCGAGAGGACCGUGGGUUCGAAUCCCACCCCCUCCGCCA
rnacentral:tRNA from 1 species